UACGGGGGGGGCAAGCGUUGUUCGGAAUUACUGGGCGUAAAGGGCUCGUAGGCGGCCAACUAAGUCCGACGUGAAAUCCCCGGGCUCAACCCGGGAACUGCGUCCGAUACUGGAAGGCUUGAAUCCGGGAGAGGGAUGCGGAAUUCCAGGUGUAGCGGUGAAAUGCGUAGAUAUCUGGAGGAACACCGGUGGCGAAGGCGGCAUGCCAGAACGCGCUCGACGGCGAGGGAUGAAAGCUGGGGGAGCAAACCGG
rnacentral:rRNA from 1 species